rnacentral:rRNA from 1 species
UACGUAGGGUGCAAGCGUUGUCCGGAAUUAUUGGGCGUAAAGAGCUCGUAGGCGGUUCGUCGCGUCGGCUGUGAAAACCUGAGGCUCAACCUCAGGCCUGCAGUCGAUACGGGCGGACUUGAGUACUGCAGGGGAGACUGGAAUUCCUGGUGUAGCGGUGAAAUGCGCAGAUAUCAGGAGGAACACCGGUGGCGAAGGCGGGUCUCUGGGCGAGUGAACUGACGCUGAGGAGCGAAAGCGUGGGGAGCGAACAGG